GUAUAAUUAUCGCAUGAUAGAUAUACCAAAGAGCAAUCGCACAUAGAUGGACUCGCGUCUGAUUAGAUAGUUGGUAGGGUAACGGCCCUACCAAGUCUACGAUCAGUAGCCGAACUGAGAGGUUUGAACGGCCACAUUGGAACUGAGAAACGGUCCAGACUCCUACGGGAGGCAGCAGUGGGGAAUAUUGGGGCAAUGGGCGAAAGCCUGACCCAGCGACGCCGCGUGAGGGAAGAAGAUCUUCGGAUUGUAAACCUUAGUCAACAGGGAAGAAGAAAGUGACGGUACCUGUGGAGGAAGCCACGGCUAACUACGUG
rnacentral:rRNA from 1 species